rnacentral:tRNA from 1 species
ACCUGGGUGGCUCAGUCGGUUGAGCAUCUGACUUUGGCUCAGGUCAUGAUCUCACAGGUUGUGAGUUCCAGUCCCACAUCUGGCU